CUCACACACCCUCUUCCUGAACCCCGUCCACGUCCACCCAUCCGGUGAUGUACGCUCAUCUCCCCAUUUAUCCCAAAAUCUGGAUUGCACUUGCAUCUGUACGUACAUACAUAUGAAUAAGCACCAUUGUUCGCUUUAGUCUGGAUGCUUCAGUCUAUAAGCUAUCUGGAUGGCACCUGCAUCUGUUCAUGCAUAAAAUAAGCACCAUACUUCGGCCUAAUUUCUAUGUGUAAAUUUUGUUUAACUUUGACUGAAAAUAUAUACAAGUAAAUAUACAUGAUUGUUUCAUUUAAGCAUGCACAGAUUCUGUUCUGAUUACCUCCACUUUUUUUCACAACAAGCCAGCAAAGCAAAGAUUCAGUGAUGCUUGUUAUGGCCUUUGAAAAUUGUAAUUGUACCUAGUCUUGUAGGUUAAUUAUCUGAAAACACGAAAUUUUAGGGUGGUUCAUAGCUGUUGUUCAGGUCACUUCUUUAUAGGUUAACACUUGUUUCAUCCAUGCAUAUUUGUGCAGGAAGUAUUAUGUAGAACAGAGGAGAAGGGGCACAUGAUAUCAUCCCAGCUUGUUGGCUAACAUGCUCAUUUCAUUAGCUUUGCAAAGAUGUGAGUUAAGUAGCUUUAUACUAUAUAAAGUGUGCUGACCGGAGAUAGUUCUCUUCUCUGGUAGAAAGACAUGGAUGUGUUGCUGUAACACACAGCAAGACGUUGAGUAAACUUUUGCUUUCCUUUCAUUGGACUACAAAUUGACUAUUGUUAAGGUUCUAAUAAGUUUAGACAUACUUGUUAAUUCUGACCAUGCCUUUCUUAAGGACUGUAUUCAUGAAAUUUGUUUGUUGCAUAUGUUCGUACAUGUUCCUAUCUAAUUUAAUGAUGUGUGAAACUUCUGCCAAUCGACAUAGCACAACAAACUUUAGAAGUAGCUUUCUUCCAUCUGCAAAAGCUGAGAUGGAGAAGGAGAGACACACAAGUUUACAAUUGAAUAAGCUGCUUCCUGAGUGAGAGGUAGAUGCACCAGAUUUACCAAUGAAUAAACUGCUCCAUUAGGCACUAUUUUUCUUUUCUUUCCAAGUGACUGCUGCUCUUCUCUAGUGUAGUUCUCCAGGGCUCACCAAUUUUGUUAGACUGAACCUGAUUUGUAUAUUUGUAUGCAGAUUUCUCAACACUCAGAUUUAUGGAGUCUAAGGUUUGACAUUUAGGGGACUAUGGAUCUUUGGCUUUUGGUGUUGAGAUUGAUGUGCCCCUCGCUAUAUGUAAGUGGUGCUUAUGAUGUCGAUCCUUCUGCUAUGGAUUGUAGUUGGGCUUCACUGCCAUCGCAUUAAUACUAUUGAUGGCAGUGUCCCUGCUGUUGAGAAACCCAUUACGUCAGUUUUGGUGGUAUUUUUGCAUUGCCACUUAUCAAUUGUUUUAUUAUUGUUCUUGUCAAAUAGUUGUAUGCUUGAUAAUUGUUGAUGAUAUCUUAUGGUUGGAAAAGAAAUGUAUUUUUGGGCAAAAUGUCCACAUUCUUACAUAGGUCCAUUGUGGUCCCCUUCGUAGCCUGUUGGUUCUAUUUUUAUCAUAUAUCUUUUUUGUUCUAAGUGUUAAUUGUUGAGUGUCAACGACAUGUGGAUAUUGUUCUUCAGGUUAUUAUGGCUGAAACUUGGAUAAAACUAUGGGCAUACAAAAUACAUAUUUGUUUUUGUUGCCUUAUAAACAUGGUUGUGAACGAACUGAAUAUUGGCAAACAUGUAUAUAUCCAUUUUCACUUACUUUGUUGUUUCUGAAAGUGAAAGGGACAAAGGAUAGCGCAGAGAGCAGAGAACACAUGGGGUAUGUUGAAAUUUUUGGUCGAAUUUACAGUCCAUUAGCUGUCAUAAAUAUAUCACAACUAGCAUGCGUACAUCCUCACAACAUUGAUGAAGAUAUGCUUGAUAACUACUCCCUCCGUCCCAUAAUAUAUGAUGUUUUUUGACACUAAGGGAGGGAGUAACUAACAAGAUCUGAUUAUUCGUUUCAUAAACGUUUACAAAAAAUAAGUACGGAAUAAAUUUUUAUAGACUAAAUUUCUAGUUCUUGUGCAAGCUGAUGAGGUUUUCUAUACCUGUAGAAGCCUUGUUCCUACUAUUCUCACCUUGUACACAUAUAUAGCAUUGUUCCUACUAUUGUAACCUUGUAUACAUACAUACUGGUUCAUUUUUUUUGUGAGAAAAGGUUCAUUUGAUUAUUGUUUACUAUUAGAAAUAAUGGUACUAUGCUGGUCAAGUGGGCACAUUGUAUACAUAUAUGCUUUUCUGUCUAUCCUUGAACUAAUACAAAAGAAGCAUGAUCAUUUCAAGCUGCACUUUCCUGAAGAAAACCGACAAACUAUAUCAUAUUUUCUGUUAAUAUUUUCCAUGCCAUUUGAAGUUCGCUUGGCAAGCAAGUAUUGUUUACUAUUUAUCAUCCUUUUGAGAUAUAUGUUCCUUUGGGAGGUGUCUAUUAUGUAGUGUAAUUCUUUGUGUUUUGGAUUCUUUGCAGGUUUGGCAUUUAGUUCGUGUUACUAUUGACCGAGGCUUUUUACCAGGAAUUACUUGGGUCUAAAAAGCUUCCUGGAAGUGGUGGUGUAGUGUUGGAGAUUAAAAUCAUGUAGUUGUGCAGUUUCAAUGAUGUUAUGUUACUUGUUUUUUAUUAAAUGCUUAUGCUUAUAACACCUUGUAAAUAUGCUUGUGAUGUUUUCAUAUUAAUUUUACUUUUUGAAAUCAGACCAGAUUGUUGGAAAUUUCUAUUGUCUUGUUGAAUGAAUAUAAUUGCAUGUCUUGUUGUAAAUUAUGAUGCAUU
rnacentral:lncRNA from 1 species